UACGUAUGUUGCGAGCGUUAUCCGGAAUUAUUGGGCUUAAAGGGCAUCUAGGCGGUAAGACAAGUUGAAGGUGAAAACCUGUGGCUCAACCAUAGGCUUGCCUACAAAACUGUUGAACUAGAGUACUGGAAAGGUGGGUGGAACUACACGAGUAGAGGUGAAAUUCGUAGAUAUGUGUAGGAAUGCCGAUGAUGAAGAUAACUCACUGGACAGAAACUGACGCUGAAGUGCGAAAGCUAGGGGAGCAAACAGGAUUAGAUACCCUGGUAGUC
rnacentral:rRNA from 1 species